AAGUAUAGUGAAGUGUGGCAAUUGUUUUCUGUUGUAUUGUAUAUAAUUGCUAGCUAAUCAUACAUAUAUAUAUAUAUACUGGUCUCGAAUGCUCCAGGUUGGCUUUUUAUUUACAACUUACGAGAAUUGCUUCGCAGAAAUUUUUUAUACAAUAAAACUAAACUUUUGCAGGUAAGACAGCCUGCCAACACUCGCAACAUUCUCAAAAUUCACAGUUUCCACAGAAGAAGAAUCCGAUGGUUGUGUAACGGAUUCGACGCGGGUCAAAAAUAGCCCAAAACGGGGAAAAGCAACCGUUUGACGUUUGACAAACGCUUAACCGUAAACUAGAUCGGUCCUUUCGGAAUGCAACCAGCUGCUUCAGCACUAUCAACACAAUUUUAUAUCGCUAAAAACAUGCAGCCCCAAAAUUUGUAUGUGUCAUCGGGCAAUAACAGUGCUGGCAACACCCGUUCAAAUCAACAGAGUGGAAUAUUUC